AACGAACGCUGGCGGCAGGCCUAACACAUGCAAGUCGAACGUGAAGCCACCUUCGGGUGGUGGAAAGUGGCAGACGGGUGAGUAACGCGUGGGAACGUGCCUUUCGGUUCGGAAUAACCCAGGGAAACUUGGGCUAAUACCGGAUACGCCCUUCGGGGGAAAGAUUCAUCGCCGAAAGAUCGGCCCGCGUCGGAUUAGCUAGUUGGUAGGGUAAUGGCCUACCAAGGCGACGAUCCGUAGCUGGUCUGAGAGGAUGACCAGCCAUACUGGGACUGAGACACGGCCCAGACUCCUACGGGAGGCAGCAGUGGGGAAUAUUGGACAAUGGGCGAAAGCCUGAUCCAGCCAUGCCGCGUGGGUGAAGAAGGCCCUAGGGUUGUAAACCCCUUUCAGCGGGGAAGAUAAUGACGGUACCCGCAGAAGAAGCCCCGGCUAACUCCGUGCCAGCCGCCGCCGUAACAC
rnacentral:rRNA from 1 species